UCUUUUAGACAUUGGGUAGGGGAGCGUUCUGUAAGCCGUUGAAGGUGAAUCGUAAGGUUUGCUGGAGGUAUCAGAAGUGCGAAUGCUGACAUGAGUAACGACAAGGGGGGUGAAAAACCUCCCCGCCGGAAGACCAAGGGUUCCUGUCCAACGUUAAUCGGGGCAGGGUGAGUCGACCCCUAAGGCGAGGCUGAAAAGCGUAGUCGAUGGGAAACGGGUUAAUAUUCCCGUACUCAAUCAAAUUGCGAUGGGGGGACGGAGAAGGCUAGGUGGGCCAGGCGACGGUUGUCCUGGUUCAAGUGCGUAGGCUUAAGAGUUAGGUAAAUCCGGCUCUUUCUAAGGCUGAGACACGACGUCGAGCUACUACGGUAGUGAAGUCAUUGAUGCCAUGCUUCCAGGAAAAGCCUCUAAGCUUCAGAUUUGA
rnacentral:rRNA from 1 species